UACGUAGGGUGCAAGCGUUGUCCGGAAUUAUUGGGCGAAAGAGCUCGUAGGCGGUUUGUCGCGUCUGCUGUGAGAACUCGGGGCUUAACUCCGGGCCUGCAGUGGGUACGGGCAGACUAGAGUGCGGUAGGGGAGACUGGAAUUCCUGGUGUAGCGGUGAAAUUCGUAGAUAUUGGGAAGAACACCGAUGGCGAAGGCAGCCAUCUGGACCGACACUGACGCUGAGGCGCGAAAGCGUGGGGAGCAAACAGG
rnacentral:rRNA from 1 species